rnacentral:rRNA from 1 species
AUUGAACGCUGGCGGCAGGCCUAACACAUGCAAGUCGAGCGAGCGGCGGACGGGUGAGUAAUGUAUGGGGAACUGCCCGAUAGAGGGGGAUAACUACUGGAAACGGUAGCUAAUACCGCAUACUAUCGGAUGAACCCAUAUGGGAUUAGCUAGUAGGUGGGGUAAAGGCUCACCUAGGCGACGAUCCCUAGCUGGUCUGAGAGGAUGACCAGCCAGACUGGAACGGAGACACGGUCCAGACUCCUACGGGAGGCAGCAGUGGGGAAUAUUGCACAAUGGGCGCAAGCCUGAUGCAGCCAUGCCGCGUGUAUGAAGAAGGCCUUGGGGUUGUAAAGUACUUUCAGCGGGGAGGCGUUACCCGCAGAAGAAGCACCGGCUAACUCCGUGCCAGCAGCCGCGGUAAUAC